rnacentral:rRNA from 1 species
AUUGAACGCUGGCGGAUUGCUUUCCACAGGCAGUCGGAAGGGAAAGGGCCUUCGGGUGCCGGCGGGUUGGGGACGGGUGGGGUAUUCAACGGGAACUGGCCGGACCGGGGGGGUAAAGGGGGGGAAAGUUUGCUAAAAACGCAUAAGGACCUACGGUGGAAGGCGGGGGCCCGAAAGGCCUGCCGGGGCCGGGCGGGCGGAUGGCAGAUUAGGUAGUUGGUGGGAUAAAAGCUUACCAAGCCGACGAUCUGUAGCUGGUCUGAGAGGAUGAUCAGCCACACUGGGACUGAGACACGGCCCAGACUCCUACGGGAGGCAGCAGUGGGGAAUUUUGGACAAUGGGCGCAAGCCUGAUCCAGCCAUGCCGCGUGCAGGAUGAAGGCCUUCGGGUUGUAAACUGCUUUUGUACGGAACGAAAAGCCUUCUUUUAAUACAGGAGGGUCAUGACGGUACCGUAAGAAUAAGCACCGGCUAACUACGUG